rnacentral:rRNA from 1 species
GAUGAACGCUGGCGGCGUGCCUAAUACAUGCAAGUCGAACGAAAAGACGGUGAGCUUGCGCCUCUGCCGUUAGCGGCGGACGGGUGGGUAACACGUAGAUAACCUACCUAUAAUUCUGGGGUAACUUCGGGAAACCGGUGCUAAUAACGGCUAACAUGUUGUACCGCAUGAUGCAACAGUUAAAGAGAGUCUUGGUGUCACUUAGAGAUGGUUCCGCGCCGCAUUAGCUAGUUGGUAAGGUAACGGCUCACCAAGGCAACGAUGCGUAGCCGACCUGAGAGGGUGAUCGGCCACACUGGAACUGAGACACGGUCCAGACUCCUACGGGAGGCAGCAGUAGGGAAUCUUCGGCAAUGGGCGAAAGCCUGACGGAGCAACGCCGCGUGAGUGAAGAAGGUCUUCGGAUCGUAAAACUCUGUUAUUAGGGAAGAAAAACUGCGUAAGUAACUAUGCAUGUCUUGACGGUACCUAAUCAGAAAGCCACGGCUAACUACGUG